CAUCGGCUGAUGGCUGAUGCCUUGUGGCUUGCUCGUUGGUUGGCUGUAGUUGCAUUUGCCUGUCUGCCAUUUUGGAUUGCUGUGUAGUAUUUGCUGAUCGUUGUGCAUUCAUUGUGGAUUGAAUCAUUCAUAGCAGGGGAUUCAGAUUUGGAGAAGCCGAUUGAAGAGUCAUGCCUGGUCUCUUCAGAACACACUGCUGGCCACAACAUAUCAUUUACUCCUCAGGGUACAAACAGUGGGCAUUCAGUUACUUCAAGUUCAUCUAAAGGGCUCGAUGUUCUUGCAGGCCAUUUAACAAGGAUAAAUAGAAGAUUGGAUGAUAUUGAAAAGAAUCAGAGUGAAAUUUUAGCAAGGUUGUGUCCA